rnacentral:rRNA from 1 species
AGUGAACGCUGGCGGUAGGCCUAACACAUGCAAGUCGAACGGCAGCACAGUAAGAGCUUGCUCUUACGGGUGGCGAGUGGCGGACGUGUGAGGAAUACAUCGGAAUCUACUUUUUCGUGGGGGUUCACGUAGGGAAACUUACGCUAAUACCGCAUACGCCCUACGGUUGAAAGCAGGGGAUCUUCGGACCUUGCGCGAUUGAAUGAGCCGAUGUCGGAUUAGCUAGUUGGCGGGGUAAUGACCCACCAAGGGGGCGAUCCGUAGCUGGUCUGAGAGGAUGGUCACCGACACUGGAGGUGAAACAGGGACAAUGGUACUGAGAGAGGGAGCAGUGGGGAAUGGGGGACAGUGGGGGGGAGCAUGGUCCAGUCAUACCACGUGGGUGAAGAAGGCCUUCGGGGUGGAAAGACGUUUUGUUGGGAAAGAAAAGCAGCCGGUUAAUACCAAGCGGGUGUGACGGUACCGAAUGAAGAAGCACCGGCUAACUACGUG